GCUCAAGGUGGCAAACUUUUGAUAAAAAGAAGUCUAGCCUUAGGGGCACCUCCCACAGCAAAAGGCUCCAGGAGCUGCCCGGGGUCUUGCUCUGAGGACCCCAUCAGCUCAGAACCCCCGGCUCCAGCCACCCGCGAGUACAAAGCGAAUGUCACCCGAGUUCCUGGGCGCCCUGCAACUUACCCUGCUUGGGGCUCUGUCCACUGGCAGGAUGCAGGGGAGGCGAAGAGAGAGGGGAGACAAGACACCAUCUCUACAGUCUCACGCCAGCCAGGAUAUCCCUCCUUCCCGAGCUUCCAGAAAAUCUCAGAUUUGGUGGGGUCCCAUCCGAGAUACCUACGAGUCACCAUCUUAACAGUCUCUAAGUGCACAGCUCAGCGGCACGAAGCACACUCACAUCGUCGUGCACCCACCCCCACAUUCCAUCUCUAGAACCUUCCAUCUCCCCACACGGAGACUCCCCAUCUCCUCCCUCAGCCCCUGGCUCCCACCACCAUCUCGUCUCUGUCUCUGUGCACGACGAGACUCCUCUAGGGACCUCCCGGGAAUGGAGCUGGACGGUAUUUGCCCUUUCGUGACUAGCCAGCUGCACUGAGCACACAUAGGGCUAACUCUUCCUGGGUGCUUGCUUAGCACCCAGUAUCGCCCUGGCGUGUAUCAGCUUGUCUAAACAUGACCACAAAGGCACAGACAAGGCAAGCAGCCAAGGGCACAGAGCCAGGACUCGGACCCAGGCGGCCUGGUGGCCGGGCCGGAGCCCCCACUCCUCGCCCUCAGCCUCCACCUCCGUCCAUCCCUGAAGCCCCUGCCCGGUCCCCCCUC